CAGACGGGUGAGUAACGCGUGGGAACCUGCCCAGUAGUAGAGAAUAACUUGGGGGAAACUUAAGCUAAUACUUUAUACGUCCUUCGGGAGAAAGCUUUAUGCGCUAUUGGAUGGGCCCGCGUUAGAUUAGUUUGUUGGUGAGGUAAUGGCUCACCAAGGCGACGAUCUAUAGCUGGUCUGAGAGGAUGAUCAGCCACAUUGGGACUGAGACACGGCCCAAACUCCUACGGGAGGCAGCAGUAGGGAAUAUUGCACAAUGGAGGAAACUCUGAUGCAGCGAUGCCGCGUGAGUGAAGAAGGCCUUUGGGUUGUAAAGCUCUUUCGUCGGGGAAGAAAAUGACUGUACCCGAAUAAGAAGGUCCGGCUAACUUCGUGCCAGCAGCCGCGGUAAUACGAAGGGACCUAGCGUAGUUCGGAAUUACUGGGCUUAAAGAGUUCGUAGGUGGUUAAAAAAGUUGGUGGUGAAAUCCCAGAGCUUAACUCUGGAACUGCCAUCAAAACUUUUUAGCUAGAGUAUGAUAGAGGAAAGCAGAAUUUCUAGUGUAGAGGUGAAAUUCGUAGAUAUUAGAAAGAAUACCAAUUGCGAAGGCAGCUGGCUGGACUUGUAUUGACGCUGAGGCUCGAAAGCGUGGGGAGCAAACAGGAUUAGAUACCCUGGUAGUCCACGCCCUAAACGAUGUUUAC
rnacentral:rRNA from 1 species